UCCACAUUGACUCUGUACCGGUACCCCCUGUAUAUAGCCUCCACACUGACUCUGUACCGGUACCCCCUGUAUAUAGCCUCCACAUUGACUCUGUACCGGUACCCCCUGUAUAUAGCCUCCACACUGACUCUGUACCGGUACCCCCUGUAUAUAGCCUCCACAUUGACCCUGUACCGGUACCCCCCUGUAUAUAGCCUCCACACUGACUCUGUACUGGUACCCCCUGUAUAUAGCCUCCACAUUGACUCUGUACCGGUACCCCCUGUAUAUAGCCUCCACAUUGACCCUGUACCGGUACCCCCUGUAUAUAGCCUCCACACUGACUCUGUACCGGUACCCCCUGUAUAUAGCCCCCACAUUGACUCUGUACCAGUACCACCCUGUAUAUAGCCUCCACAUUGUUAUUUACUUAUUAUUUAUUUACUCUUUAAUUACUUGUGACUGAUUCAUUUUUUUUUAAAUUUAAACUGCAUUGUUGGUUAGGGACUCGCAAGUAAGCAUUUCACUGUAAGGUCUACUACACCUGUUGUAUUCACCAUUUCACUGUAAGGUCUACACCUGUUGUAUUCACCAUUUCACUGUGAGGUCUACUACACCUGUUGUAUUCAGCAUUUCACUGUAAGGUCUACUACACCUGUUGUAUUCAGCAUUUCACUGUAAGGUCUACACCUGUUGUAUUCAGCAUUUCACUGUGAGGUCUACUACACCUGUUGUAUUCAGCAUUUCACUGUAAGGUCUACUACACCUGUUGUAUUCAGCAUUUCACUGUGAGGUCUACUACACCUGUUGUAUUCAGCAUUUCACUGUGAGGUCUACUACACCUGUUGUAUUCAGCAUUUCACUGUAAGGUCUACUACACCUGUUGUAUUCAGCAUUUCACUGUGAGGUCUACACCUGUUGUAUUCAGCAUUUCACUGUGAGGUCUACACCUGUUGUAUUCAGCAUUUCACUGUGAGGUCUACACCGGUUGUAUUCAGCAUUUCACUGUGAGGUCUACACCGGUUGUAUUCAGCAUUUCACUGUGAGGUCUACUACACCUGUUGUAUUCAGCAUUUCACUGUGAGGUCUACUACACCUGUUGUAUUCAGCAUUUCACUGUGAGGUCUACUAC
rnacentral:lncRNA from 1 species